rnacentral:rRNA from 1 species
UACGGAGGUGCAAGCGUUGUUCGGAUUUACUGGCGUAAAGCGCGCGCAGGUGGAUUGGACAAGUCGGAAGUGAAAAGUCUUGAGCUCAACCUCGAGGCUGCUCCCGAAACUGUUCGUCUAGGGACUGGUAGAGGCUGGUAGAAUUCCCGGUGUAGCGGUGGAAUGCGUAGAGAUCGGGAAGAAUGACCCGUGCCGAAGGGCGGCCAAGCUGGGGCCCAGGUCCGACGAACUG